AGGGCACCACCAGGAGUGGAGCCUGCGGCUUAAUUUGACUCAACACGGGAAAACUCACCCGGCCCGGACACUGGAAGCAUUGACAGAUUGAGAGCUCUUUCUUGAUUCAGUGGGUGGUGGUGCAUGGCCGUUCUUAGUUGGUGGAGUGAUUUGUCUGGUUAAUUCCGAUAACGAACGAGACUCUAGCCUACUAAAUAGAUCGUCGGCUUACAAACGCCGGCGAGACUUCUUAGAGGGACAGGCGGUGAUUCAACCGCACGAAACAGAGCAAUAACAGGUCUGUGAUGCCCUUAGAUGUCCGGGGCCGCACGCGCGCUACACUGAAGUGAUCAGCGUGCUUUUUCAACCUACUCUGUCAAGAGUGGGGAACCCAAUGAACCUUCUUCGUGAUUGGGAUAGGGGAUUGUAAUUAUUCCCCUUGAACGAGGAAUUCCCAGUAAGCGCGAGUCAUAAGCUCGCGUUGAUUACGUCCCUGCCCUUUGUACACACCGCCCGUCGCUGCUACCGAUUGAAUGUUUU
rnacentral:rRNA from 1 species